GACGAACGCUGGCGGCGUGCUAAUACAUGCAAGUCGAGCGGACGAAUCGAAAGCUUGCUUUUGAUUCGUUAGCGGCGGACGGGUGAGUAACACGUGGGCAACCUGCCCUGUAGACGGGGAUAACACCGAGAAAUCGGUGCUAAUACCGGAUAACACGAAAUGUCGCAUGACGCUUCGUUGAAAGACGGCGCAAGCUGUCGCUACAGGAUGGGCCCGCGGCGCAUUAGCUAGUUGGUGAGGUAACGGCUCACCAAGGCGACGAUGCGUAGCCGACCUGAGAGGGUGAUCGGCCACACUGGGACUGAGACACGGCCCAGACUCCUACGGGAGGCAGCAGUAGGGAAUCUUCCGCAAUGGACGAAAGUCUGACGGAGCAACGCCGCGUGAGCGAAGAAGGUCUUCGGGUCGUAAAGCUCUGUUGUUAGGGAAGAACAAGUAACGCAGUAACUGGCGUUACCGUGACGGUACCUAACGAGAAAGCCACGGCUAACUACGUGCCAGCAGCCGCGGUAAUACGUAGGUGGCAAGCGUUGUCCGGAAUUAUUGGGCGUAAAGCGCGCGCAGGCGGUUCCUUAAGUCUGAUGUGAAAGCCCACGGCUCAACCGUGGAGGGUCAUUGGAAACUGGGGGACUUGAGUGCAGAAGAGGAGAGCGGAAUUCCACGUGUAGCGGUGAAAUGCGUAGAGAUGUGGAGGAACACCAGUGGCGAAGGCGGCUCUCUGGUCUGUAACUGACGCUGGGGCGCGAAAGCGUGGGGAGCAAACA
rnacentral:rRNA from 1 species